ensembl:lncRNA
UAGGAGCUUUGGAAAAUCAGGAGGGGGUGGAGGGUAGCAGUGGGAGCUCAAGGAGGGGCAGAGAGGGGAUCAGAGCUCCCGAAACUUUUCUAACCUGAAUGAAUGCCUCCCCUCUACGUCUGGCAGCCUGAGUAGCUGCCUUUGAAAUCUUUGAAGGGUUUUUAGCUUUAGUUAAAGGAAGAAAUAGGGUGGAAUGCAUUAUUCCAUCUUAUCUGGAACCAGAGUCAUAAAACCUCGGUUUUUGACCAGAACAACUGGAAGAAUAGAGAUGGAGAAGGAGAAGGCUAUGGAUGGAACAGCUUCGUGCAUGAAGAGGAACGCUUCAGUUUUCUUUAUGUUUAGUUUGAAACAUAUCUGCUACUCAAACAAGGGAGAUAUUGAGAGGGCAAUUAGAUAGCCAAGUUUAGAAUUUAGGAGAUAUAUUUACAAUGGUGAUAUAAAUUUGGUGUAAUCAAACACACAGAUGUUCUUUCAAGCCAUGGUACUGAAUGAGAUCAUCAAGGAAGGGGGAAGAAACCAAGUACAGUAAGAGGCCAGGGAAAAGAGGAAGAACCAGCAAAUGCAACUGAGAAGUAGGAGCAUGGAAACCGAUUGAAGAAAACUGCUUCAAAAACAAAGGAGAGCUCACUUGUGUCAAAUACUACUAUUUGAAGACGAGUUUUGUGAAUUGGAUUUAGCAUUGAAUUUCACAAUGUAGAGGUUACUGGUGACUUUCAUAAGAAAGGUUUAAGUGGUGGGAGAAAGCACAAUUGAUGUGUAUUUUUGAGACAAUGGGAUAGAGGAAUGGGAUAAUGAGUUAAGAAUUCUUUUGAGAACUUUUGUUGCAAAGAGGAGAAAAUAAAGAAGUAGUUGGUGGAGGAAGAAGGGCUAAGAGAUGCUUUGGGGGAUUUUGAUUUGUUGGGGGUUUUUUUAGACGAAGGAAAUAAUAGCAUGUAUGCUGUUGGGAGUGACCCAGUAGAGAGAGAAAAAUUGAUGAUGUAGGAGAGAGAGGAGAAACGUUACAGUGAUUCCUUGAGUAGAUGAGAAGGAAUAGGAUGUAAUGCACCAGUGGGGCAUUGGCUUGAGAGAGCAGCAGGGAUUGUUCAUCUGUGCUAAGAGGUGAGUGAGCAGAUAUUUCUGUGCAGAUGUGAGGAGAGUCUGUGAAAAUUUCCUUCACUUCUCAGUGAAGUAUGAAGCAAGGUCAUCUGCUUGUGAGGAUGGGGUAGGAGGAAUUUGAGGUCUGAGGAGAGAAGUGAAGGUAUGAAACAGUCAGCUAGGAGAGCUGGGGGU